UCCUGUUGCAUCCCUGGGGAUUUGCUUCAGCUCCCAAAUAAAGAACAGGCUGAUUUUGUGCUCCCCUCACGCUGGUUUCCAUGUCCCAGUGGAUAAAGCUGGAAAUCAGAACUGGUUGAAGAGUGAGGGUUCAAUGGCACCGACUCCUCGUGCCCUGGCUGUGCUGCAGACCUCGGGGGCAAGGUGCUGGAUAGAAAUUGCUCUGAUUAUUUAAAGCUCUCUGUGUAUUUGAUUUUGGCCACAUCAGUAAAGACUCACUGGUGUCUUUUGAGCAUCAGAGGUCCUUUCCAGCAUCAGAGGCUCUUCAGAAGACUACUCUGAAAUAUCAGGAUUCUCUGUCUACUGGGUCCUGCUAGCGAGAAGUGAAAGAGCUUAAUCUGCACAAAAAACAAUUCCAGAGUAACUCCUGGAAAUGUUUUAAUUUGAUUUCUCUUUCUUACCAUGUUAUUCUGUUCUGCGGGGUGUGAUAUUUGCACAAUAUAAUGAAAAGAGUUUUAGGAGAGACAUGAGCUCUGUCUUGGCUGCCAUGAAGAGAAUCAGCCCUGAGAUCUGUGUUUUCAGGAAGCUCUGCUCCAGUUCUGUUGCCCUUCCAAUGGAAUUCUUAGCCCAUGUUUGUCAUGGGCCUGCUAAACCUGCUGGAAUUUUGGCUUUUGGCUCCUUUCUUUACAACAGAUUAAGCAUCAAAGCACAGAUGACAGAUGGGAAGUGUGGUGGGAGGGAUGAACUCAGAACCUAAGGAAGGGAGAGGAAGGAGAAUUUCCAUGGGCUGAGAAGUUUUGUCCAUUCCAGUGUCUCCAUUUGCCAUGGACAGUUUGUACAAUGAAAUAUUCCAGGGUUGUUGGGUCUGUCCUUGUGGAAUGGCUCUUUCCACCCAUCUACAGGAGGGACAGUGGAGUGGAGAAGAGAGAACUCAGGGCUGCAGGACAGAUUUCCUGAGGGAAGGACACCCUGUGGGGAUCCACCCUUCCUCCCAUGGCUGUGAAGUCACGUCAGAUGUAAAGCCAAAACUCCCAGUGUGGGUACUUUAUCUAGAUUAUAAACAUUCACCUGCUUCUAAUCUUCCAUUUGCCUCUUAAUUAGAGCCUUAAUUGCUUCUUCUCUGAGACCAUUAAGGAGCUGACAGGCACUGCACAGCUCAAUUUGGUCCUUCAAGGUCCUAAUUCAGAGGCCACCAGAGACUGAAUCCUACUCCACAGAAAUCCCAACUAAGGAAAAUUUCCAAAAUUGGGAAGAAAAGACAUCUUGGAGAGCACUGUGACUUUCUUGAAAUUAUUUUUGGGAAUAUUGGGAAUGAAGCGAGCAAGAGCACGGCAGGAGACACAAGGAAACAAUAUUCUACAGCUGGCAGUGAAUAAGCACCAAUGGGAGAAGUGAAAAGAUCUUUUAGAAAUAUGGGAGGGAGCAGAGUUCUCCAAAAAUACAUCCCAGCGUUUUGAACUGCAGGCUGCCCAGACAGACUUCAUAUCUGGAGAUCAGACUGAGCAAACAAGAGCAUGGGGAGAAGCUGAGCGUGGCCGAGCUGAAGCUGAGCACGUUCAAGUUGCUGGUGUCAUCUUGGGAAGUGCUCUGGAAUGGAAAAGACACUUCAGUGGCCCCCAGCACGUCUCCAAGGGGCUCAGGAAUCACAUCUACACUUGGAGAGCAGGUGGAACGUGUUCAGUGAGCUAAUCCUGCCUGGGGAAUCCUCUGACCUGGAUUAGGCUGAGGUGCCCUUUGCAGAGAAUCCUCCCUUUGCUUCUGCCAGGUGGGGAUCGUGUGGGACACGGGUCCUGGUCCCUCCUGUCAUCCCUUAGGGUCUGAGCUGAGUCUGGAGCUCCAAGGACUGAGCAGCUCUGCAGUGCUGUGUCUCUGGGCUAAAACUGCUGGAGAACUCGCCUGAAAUGAUGCUGGAAGCAGAGUUUAAGUGUCUGGAAUCACAGGAUUCUAGGAAGGGUUUAAGUGUGUAGAAUGGCAGGAUUUUAGGAAGAGUUUAAUGUCUGCAAUCACAGGAUUUAAAGAACAGUUUAAGUGUGUAGAAUCACAGGAUUUUAGGAAGAGUUAAGGUGUCUGCAAUCACAGGAUUCUAGGAAGACUCUGCUGGUCAUUGAUGGGGGUGCCAGCCCAGCUUCCCACUGUGACUUUCUGCUUGGAAAACAGGAGCAGGGCCGGAGUUAAAGCAAAUUUUGGGGUCCUGUCACUCCUCUGGCCAUGGAAAUCAUGAGCCCUGCAGUGAAUAAUAUGUGUAGGCUCAGGAGUGAUGAGAAAAGACAGGAUUUUGGGGCACCUCUGUGUGCUUGUUCCUGGUUUAGGAAGGAACAGUGUUGACAGUGGAGGUCUCUGGGAGUGUGGAAAGAACUGGAACCUUUCUCCAUGCCCAGAGAGACUUUGGAGGGAUUGCAAAGACAGGAGGUGGAAAACAAAGCUCUUCUUGGGCAAGUCUGAUAUGUGAUCAGCACAGAAUUAUUUAAUAAUAUCUGAUCUGUUAGGUAAUCCCUAAAUACCUGUCUUGUUGAGCUCUUACCUUGCAAUAUGAGUUACUGCUUGAAUCUGAAUAUUACAUUUGAACAUUUAGGGGUGAGGGAGCAGCUGGAGUUGUGAAGAGCUGAGGAAGUAAUUGGGGAGAAAGGUGUGAGAGAUGGACAAAAAGCCAUUAUCAAACAUUCAUAACAGGUUUGCAAAGUACAGCACUACCCAGAGAAUAAAGCUGUUGAACAAAUGUGUAAUCCCUUUCUCCUGAAAGCGAGAUACAGCAAAAUUGUAGUUGAAAUACUCCUAAUCAGCAUCUCUUUUUAUUUCCCACAAACAUUGCUCCCUGAUUUCUUGCUAUUCCUUGUAGUUUUGACUAUUGUGAAAUUGUAAUUGCCUCCUUUAAGUCUCACAGUCCUCUUCAGCAAUAAAACUCAUCUUUUCCACCUGUGGAGAAAUCUUCCCGAAGGAAACAUCCCAGUGAGAUGGGAAUGCCUUUCCCUGCUGCCAUUUAGAACUCCCCUCCUGCUAAUGCCUCUGAUUUUCUGUGUUAGAAUAAACAACAACAAAAUGUUUUGUUGGAAACAGUAAAAUUAAAGUGGGAUAGAAGUGAAAAGAAUUGCUGGCAACUCCAGGGAAGUGGGGAUGUGUGAGAUGUUAAACCUUGUCCAAGUCUCACACCCAGCAGCAGGAGAUGUUAAAACACUUAAAAUAGAAAGGAGAGCUGCAGAAUGGAGAGCCCAUGUGUUCUCAUUGUUCCUGGAAUGAAGAUGAUCCAGUUUGGAGCAGAAGCCACUCACUCCUGACCCUGCUUAUACUGCCUUGGUCAUAUCCUGGAGCACAAUGAAAUCCACUUUUGUUCUUUGUCUUGCAGAAACACUCAGGUGGGAGAAAUUCUGGGUUUUUUUUCUUCCUUUCACCUGCAUCCCCUUAAGGAACAGUUGCAGAGGAUAAAUAUUACUUCUUUGAAGAGCAGCAGAAAAUUCAAGUGAGAAACUCUAACCCCAGCAAUGUUUAUUUGGAAAGAGAACAAAAUCUACUGAGAGGUUUUGAAGGGUUGAAAUUGCUUAAAUCCAUAUCAGAAAGAGAUAUUUGCUAGGACUGGGCAAGGUUAAGGGGUAAAUACGGCAAUUCAUCCGAGAGAAAUCAAACCCACAAUAAAUCAGUCAAAGGGGCUGCAGUGAAGAGGGGAACAGCUUUAUACAAUAUUUGUCUGGUCAAUAGCACUAUUUACAGUAUGAAUAACCAUCCAAGUGAGCAUUUUAUUGCUUUGCACACAUAUUUUCCACAGCUGGUGUGUGUGGUUGUUUCUGUAGCUGUAAAACCUUCUGCAGAUGCUGCUCUCAAAGCUGCCCAUGUGUCAGAAUUAUAAAUGCACCCUAUUCCGAGUUUAUUUGUAAAAUUAUCCCUCUGAACCUGAAGUUCUCCAUCUGGCUUUGCUGCUUGUUUUUCUGACAGCUACAA